GGAAAGCUUUCGCGGUAUGGGAUGGGGUCGCGUCCUAUCAGCUUGACGGCGGGGUAACGGCCCACCGUGGCUUCGACGGGUAGCCGGCCUGAGAGGGCGACCGGCCACAUUGGGACUGAGAUACGGCCCAGACUCCUACGGGAGGCAGCAGUGGGGAAUAUUGCACAAUGGGCGCAAGCCUGAUGCAGCGACGCCGCGUGAGGGAUGGAGGCCUUCGGGUUGUAAACCUCUUUUAUCGGGGAGCAAGCGAGAGUGAGUUUACCCGUUGAAUAAGCACCGGCUAACUACGUGCCAGCAGCCGCGGUAAUACGUAGGGUGCAAGCGUUAUCCGGAAUUAUUGGGCGUAAAGGGCUCGUAGGCGGUUCGUCGCGUCCGGUGUGAAAGUCCAUCGCUUAACGGUGGAUCCGCGCCGGGUACGGGCGGGCUUGAGUGCGGUAGGGGAGACUGGAAUUCCCGGUGUAACGGUGGAAUGUGUAGAUAUCG
rnacentral:rRNA from 1 species